rnacentral:rRNA from 1 species
UACGUAUGGUGCAAGCGUUAUCCGGAUUUACUGGGUGUAAAGGGAGCGCAGGCGGCACGGCAAGCCUGAUGUGAAAGCCCGCGGCCCAACCGCGGGACUGCAUUGGGAACUACCGGGCUGGAGUGCCGGAGAGGUAGGCGGAAUUCCUAGUGUAGCGGUGAAAUGCGUAGAUAUUAGGAGGAACGCCAGUGGCGAAGGCGGCCUACUGGACGGUGACUGACGCUGAGGCUCGAAAGCGUGGGGAGCAAACAGG